rnacentral:rRNA from 1 species
AUACGGAGGAUCCGAGCGUUAUCCGGAUUUAUUGGGUUUAAAGGGUGCGCAGGCGGGAGAUUAAGUCGGCGGUGAAAUUUUGGAGCUCAACUGUAAAAGAGCAUUUGAAAAUGGGUCCCUUGAGUGUAGCUGAAGUCGGGGGAAUUUGUGGUGUAGCGGUGAAAUGCAUAGAUAUCACGAGGAACUCCGAUUGCGCAGGCAGCUUACUAAACUACUACUGACGCUCAGGCACGAAGGCGUGGGGAUCAAACAGGAUUAGAUACCCUGGUAGUCCACGCAGUAAACGAUGAUUACUAGCUGUUUGCGAUACAAUGUAAGCGGCUGAGCGAAAGCGUUAAGUAAUCCACCUGGGGAGUACGUUCGCAAGAAUGAAACUCAAAUGAAUUGGCGGGG